rnacentral:tRNA from 1 species
GACAGCUUGGUGUAGUGGUCUGAGUGCUGGACUAUGACACUGGAGACCAGGGUUCGAUUCCCAGCUUGGCCA